GCCGGGGUGGCGGAACAGGCAGACGCAGGGGACUUAAAAUCCCCCGAUCGAAAGAUCAUACCGGUUCGAUUCCGGUCCUCGGCACCA
rnacentral:tRNA from 1 species